rnacentral:lncRNA from 10 species
CACCAGACCACAAACGUGGGUGUUGAUUCUAAGGAUACCCCCAAUAAACAUCUUUCGUGCUAAAGCCCAUUCCAGAAUUUACUUCCCAGCUAUCUUUGAUGUUCAUAUUGUCAGAGGUGGUGGCCGCUGAAACAGGCAAAGACAUGGAGCAUAUCUUGGGUCCAGGUAAAGGAGGUGGGUGCACACAAGUGAAAAGAUGUUGCUGAAGUCACGUGGCUUCAAGCAGUAGAGCUGACUGUCCUCUAGUCCAGUUGUCCCUACAGGAUAAAAGCUUCUCUCCAUUACAGAGACCUUGGGAGUCCAGAGGAAGGUCUUUUUACCAUCAGCAUUCUCUACUGUGUUCAAUGACUGUCAGCCAAAGAUGGCCAGCUUUCCUUCAGAAAGAAAUGCAUUCAAAGAACCUACAUUCACAACAUAAAGAAAUAAAGCACACACAAGACCGCCAAGCAUUAAGAUUCUCCUGUGGAGCCAGGCUACAAUCCUUUAAAUGAAGACAGACAGCUAGGUGGCUGCAGCCCAGCGCUACACCUCACCCCUCCCUCAGUGUCAUGCAGAAAAAAUGUAUUCAGAACUCAGAAGUGAAGUUGUGCAAAUCCAUCAUUGACACUAGCUUCAAGGUUACCUCGGGGGAGCAGAAUGUACCCCUGCCAGAGAGCUGGAUAGAUGAUGAUGGGGACAGAAAUUCUGGGGGAGUUGUAAAUGGCAGCCACUGCCUCUAUAGGAAACCCAAAGGGAACACAGCAGAAGAGGAGGUGGUGGAGGAGCCACUGCCCUCUCGAAGGGUUCAAUGUCAUUCUGCAGACACAACCAAAUAACUUUUUCUUCCCUGCUGCUCCUCCAUUUG